rnacentral:lncRNA from 1 species
AAAACGAAUGUGCUCCGUUAAAGGUGGGGCUGUUUUACUCAAGAUGACUCAGGGCCUUAAGGAGCAUGGAAGCAUAUGGGUAGCAAAAUUACAUUUUAAAUGUAAUAUGCAAAAUGGUAAUGCAAUAUGUAAAAUUGCACUGUAUUUAAAUUGACAUUUUCCCAUACAUAUGUGCAACAUUUAGUGCAAAAUGAAAAUUAAAUCGAUGUUGAGGGUGGUACUACCUUCCUGAAAUGAGUUUUUGCAGGGUGGGGUGUCUGAAUUUUGCUACCCAUAUGCAUCCAUAAAAGGAAAUGCCAUCAAUGAUUGUAACGGAUGUAUGUCGUCACAUUUGCAAAUUGAUGUAAAAGUUAUUUUCUUUUCGCUAACAUUCGAAUAUUAACACUUAAUAAAACACCAACAAUCACAACUAGCUAGGUAAGAUGAUUACCUUAAAAGUCGGUCCUAUUUCUGUUUUCUCUAGUUGUGUAGCCUAGAUAAAAAAAUUAAAAAAAAGGUUCUACUGCAACAUGUAUUCUUAGUUCUUAAUUCAAUUCUUCAUGAAACCAUAGAUGGCAAUGAAGCUUUGUUUUAAAGAGUGUACUGUAUGUCUGAUACUGGGCUAGGUAUCCUUAAAAACUUACGGUUUGUAUGCGAUGUCCUGUGACUUGCUGUAAAAGAUGAGCGUUGAUGAAGAGCUGCCGCAGUUGUGUCUAACUGUAGCUGUGUCCCAAACUUAAGUGCAUGGACUCCGAAGUGCGGAUGUUUAGUGCGAUUGCGUCUCAGCGUCACGACGAAGGCUGACGUAAUUCCAAAAAAGCGACUUCAAAUGCGUCCUUCAUUUCCCAUGAAAAUGAAGUGUACAUCAUGGCACAGAAUCACUUGCGUGCAUAUGACGAGGUGUUUAUAUUCAGAGGCAGGUGAGAGUUCUGUGGAGGACUUCACAUUGAAAUGCAUGGUUUAUUUGUGAAGUGUCCUGAGACAGGUGAGGGAGCGAGUGGACAGGGAGGACAUCAAACUCAAACAAAUACAUUCUUCAUUAGCCAAGAGAAAACAGUGGGAAAAAAUGAGUUCAUCACAGUUUUUUCCAAUGUAUUUUUUAAAUGUCAUAUUGUCAAUGAAACAACCUAAUUUCUGUAGUUUAUUUGUGUGAUGCAAGUUAAAAAUGAAAUGCAUAAAUGGUAUACAUUACUCAUUUUUUGUGUGCAAUUUAUUCGUAAAUAAGCCUGAGUACUUUCUGUACAUUUUGUAUUUUUGUUUUGCAUAUUCACAUGUGUAAAUAAAAGAAAAGUGCUUAUGUACAUUGUUAAUUUUUUUCAUGUAGCUUAUAAUUUUUUCAGAAAACAUUCUUUUAUAUGUUUAUUUGUUUGUCCUGUAAAUACUUUUUUACACAUUAAAACAAAUUGUUCUAUACAUAAUUUUUUGUUGUGUCAAUUUAUUCGUAAAUAAGCCUGAGUACUUUCUGUACAUUUUGUAUUUUUGUUUUUGCAUAUUCACAUGUGUAAAUAAAAGAAAAGUGCUUAUGUACAUUGUUAAUUUUUUUCAUGUAGCUUAUAAUUUU